AAGGUUGUUCUAACAAGUCUGGUACAGUCAUGAUAUAACCAGAAUGUUACAAGAUUGACGAGACGACACAAGAUUGUAACAAUAUAGUCAUAUCAUGACUGUAUCAGACUUGUUGGAACAACCUU